rnacentral:snoRNA from 1 species
CCUGCCCCUAGAGGCCUUGUCACAAGAACAUCAUUCAGUAGGUAGCAGGGAGGAAAGAGGCUCAGUGUUCUGAACUGGGAACAUCUGAAUGAAAUGAUCAUAGCCUAACAUU